GACAAACAAAGAAAAUACACGUUUUAUUCUAUAAGUGUUUGGGGGGAACAAGAAUUCAGAAAAGAAAUUUUAACAUGAAGCAGAUCACGAAAACAAGAAACUGGAAUUUGAUUAUUGUAUUAGAACUUUGGAUAGCAAAACAAUGGAAUUUCAACUGGAACAAGAUACCUGAAAAGAGAGAAAUGAAAAUCCAACGUUUUACCAAAAUGACAACGAGAACACCGAGAUCAACUUCGGAAUAUCAGAGAGAAGAAACUCACAAAUGGAAAAUGAUUUCCGGUGCCUUCUCCCACUGUUCUUUCCCGUUUUAUAAACUGCCUGCCCUUUCAUUUCUUUAAUGUAUUUGGAUCGGGUCCUUAUCCGGCUCUCGGGUUAUCCCAUUUUACACUUUUCACAUCCUCCCUCAAAUCUGGCGGAAUGUAUCUCGCGAGAUUUGAUUGUGCUUGUUGGAGUAAUUGGACAGAUUCUGAUGGCCUGACGAUAAAUGGAACAAGCUUGUGGCGAUGACGGUACUGCAUGAACCCUUCAGUACCCAAAAUUUUUGUGAAUCCAUCUGCCAAUUGUUCGAUUGUUGGUACAUACUCAACUCUAAAAUAUUCCUUUAUUAAUUAGUUCUCGUACAAAAUAAUAGCUAAUCUCUAUGUGUCUGGAACGUGAAGUGAUUGCUGGAUUUUUAGCCAUGAAUAUGGCUGAUUUACUGUCACAUAGUAGUGUUGGGGGAAAACUUAAUUUUAUUUCCAAUUCUCUAAAGAGGUAGUAGAACCAUCUAACAUCUGAUGUUACAUGAGUCAUGGCCUUAAAUUCUGCCUCAGCACUCGAGUUUGAUACUGCCGGUUGCUUUUUAGCAGACCAAGAGAGUAAAUUGUUUCCAUACCAUAUGCUUGACCCUGUUAUUGACCUCCUAUCAGAUGAUCCUCCCCAGUCUGAAUCUGUAUAGGCAAUUAAAUCCAUUCUCUCGUUAAUUCCUUAGUAAUCUGUAGACCUAAAUUAGAAGUCCCUUGUAGGUAUCUCAGUAUUCUUCUUACUGCCAUUAAGUGGCCUUCUUUAGGAUUUUGUAAAAAUUGACAUACUUGAUUUCUGAUGAGUGAGAAGUAUUGUAAACUCUCCACCUUGCUUCUAUAGAUUGUAAUAUCAUCUAAUGGAUUUCCCAUGUCUUGAUGUAACUUUGUAGAUAGAAUCAUUGGUGUUCUAACUGGAUUAGAAUGCUUAUAGACAAACCUUUUUAAUACAUCCUUUGCAUAUUUUUCUUGUCAUAGUACUAUAUUCUCUUCUUGAUAGAUACACUGAAUUCCCAAGAAAAAACUUAAUUUUCCCAUGUCUCUACAUUUGAAUGUUUGACAUAGUUUCUUCACCACUUCAUCUAUUUCUUCUUCAUUUGUUCCUGUGAUGACAAUGUCAUCCACAUACACCAAUAUUAACAGUUUGUGAUCACCCUUUACUUUGUAAAACAAUGAUGCAUCAGCAUUGGAAUUUGUAAAUUUAUUGGAAAUUCACUCCUUCUUGGUUAUACCCUUGAGCUACUAGUCUAGCUUUACAUCUUUCCACACUUCCAUCAUGCUUCCUUUUUACUUUAUAUAUCCAUUUAGAUCCUAUGACAUUCAUAAAUUCUUCUUUUGGUACCAAUACCCAUGUAUCGUAUUCUCUUAUUGCUUUCAUCUCUUCCUCCAUUGCCUCUUUCCAGCAUUUCUGUUUAUUAGCCCGUGAGAAACAAUUUGGCUCCACAAUAUCAUCAGUAAUAGUUAUAUUAUUAUUGCAUUUAUCAGAAGUCAUAUCAAAGUUUUUAUAUAAUAUAUUUGGGAAUUUAAUCCAUUAUGAUCUUCUUAAGUCUAGAAGAGGGGAACUACUCUGACCUUGAGUGUCCAGAGUAGCGGAUGGAUUUAUACUUGGAUUAAAUUCCAAGUUAAUCCCAUUCUCAGUGUUUGGAUUAACAAUUACUGGGGCAGGUUCCAUAUUGUUAUUUGACCUAAUUACGCUUGACUCUAUGGAUGAAUUUUGAACUUCAGUUUGACUUGGUGGAUUUUGAGGAUGAGUUAUAUCUCUGUUAAAAAGUGAAUCAGAAGGUUAGGUGUUUUCAAUCUGUUAAUUAAGUAUGCAGCAGAUGAGAAUACCUCCUGCCAGUAUUCUUGAGGAAUGCCUGCUUUUUUCAUUAAGCAUCUUUCAACUUCAAUUAUUUGUUUGUCUCCUUUCCACUAAUCCAUGUUGUUGUGCUGUAUAAGUGCAUGAUAAUUUAUGGUUUAUCCCUUGUUCUUCUAAAUAUCUUUUAAAUUUAGAAUUUAGAAAUUUCUUUAAUUUUCAUCCCCAAAUAAUUUUCUAUUAAUUUGUGAAAUUUAGUAAAAAUAGAGAAAAAUUCAGAUUUAUUGCUCAUUGGAUAAAACCAUAUAAACCUUGUAUAUUCAUCAACUAUUGAUACAUAAAAUCUAAAGUUUGCAACAGAUGUUGUAGGUGAUGGUCCCCACAGAUCUAUAUGUAGAGUUCUUAAGGGUGUGGAAGCUCUUAUUUCUCUUCUAUUGAACGGUUGUUGAUGUGCUUUCCCCAGGGGAAAGACUUGACAAAACUUCAUUUUGUUUCCCUGUUUAUCCUGAAUUUGUAAUUCUGGUUCAGUUUUCUUCAACACAGCUUCUGAUGGAUGCCCUAAUCUGUCAUGUCAUCUAUCCUUUGUAGUCUUUAUACCAUAGAAAGCUUUGUCAUCUAGAUAGAUGUAAUAGAGGCCUUCUGAGCUACUGCCAGAAAAUAGUAUCUCCAUAGUGACCUGGUCCUUGAUAAAAAAAAAUUUAUCAUUAAAAUGAUUAAGAAAUUUAAGUUUCUAGAUAACUUUUGAAUAGACAUAAGGUUCUUCUUUAACCCGGGUACACACAAAACUCCUUCUAAAUUGUAAUCUUUUCCUUUAAAUUUCAAUGUUACUCUAACUCUAUAUUUAACAUGUAAGUAAUCUCCACUCCCAACUAUUACAUAUUGUGUACCUGGAGCUGUUUCAUAGGCUGUGAAGGCAGUUAGGUCUGGUGUCAUAUGACUGGAUGCUCCUGAAUCAAGGCACCAUGCUGAAUCAUCCAAUGUAGUGGUUGCUGAUAUUGCCAUUUCAGAAGAUGGAAUCUGUUGGUAAUUCUCUGUAUAUGCUGGAAUUGUUGGUUGUUGGAUUGCUGCAUAGGCUGGAUAUGUAUAUUCUGUUGUGUAUGCUGGUGCUGGUGGAGGUAAGUGUGGUGGUAUAUUAGUUGUACUAGUAUUCAGUGCUGAGAAAUUAUUGUAAUCUGGGCACUGUUUAGCUAGGUGACCUUUCUUGUCACAUAUCUGGCAACUUUGUGAUUGAUCAAUGGAAGAAGGUGUUUUGAGUAUUGGUGGUAAUUGAGGCUUUUGUUGUUAUUGUGGUGGUGGUGGUGGUAUCAUGUUAGCUCUUGGGUAUUGGUGAUAAUUUUGUUGUUGUUGAUUAGAGUAAAAUGGUCUGUAAUUAGGGUGUGAAUUGUAGUUUGGUCUAUAGUUGUAAUUUGGUCUGUAGUUAUAGUUUGGUUGAUAAUUUUGAGGUGCUGAAUGGUAAUUUGGAUUGUGGUAGUAAUUGGGAUUGGGAUUAUAGUUAUAAUUGUAGUUUGUGUUGUUCCCCCUAUAGUUGGGUGAAUAACCUCUAGUUAGGAUUGUUUCCUCUAUAGUUAGGACUGUGGCCUCUAUAUCCUGUAUUUGCAACCAUAGCCACUGUGACUUUGGAUUGGCUGUCCUCUAUUCUUUUUAUCAACAAUUCUUCACCAAGCAGCAUAUCUGCUAAUUCAUCAAAUGUAGGCACUUGUGCUCUAUUUCUUAUUGUUGUCAGUAAACAUCUAUACUCAAACCACAAGCCACCUAAUAUGUAAUCCCUCAAGCAAUUAUUAUUUAAAGUUUCUCUUGUAGCAUCUAGGGAUUCGACCAGUCCCUUUACCCUCACAAUGUAUUCUUGCAUUGUUUCUGUGGUGACUUUCUUCAAUGCCCUUAACUGUUCUUUUAUCACGGUUACUUGAGCGUUACUAGUUGGUGAUAGUAAUUUUUCCAAACUUGUCCACCCAUCAUAUGCAAACUUACAUUUUAGCUUUGACUAUAAAGAAAGUAGAAAAAUAGUCUCAGACUAUAAAGAAAGUUAACGAACCCAUGUUAGCUUUGACGACUCCAGACAGGGUCACCAGCCUAUAAAGUGUGUCAACGACCCCAAGAAGAGUCAUUGAACCCAUGGCAAGUUUGAAGACUCCAACUAGGGUCUCUGACCUAAAAUAGAUUCGAUGACUCUAGGGACAUUCAUCAAACCAUGUGGUAACCGCCCACUAAGUCGAAAGUUUCCAAAGCCUUACCUAUAAAUGCAUGUUGUUAUUGUGAAAAAUUGAAUUUAUAAGGUGUUUACGUAAUUCAUUUCAUACUAAGGAUGAAUGAAAGCAACUAAUUCAAUAAUCUGAAUUUUAUUACAGAAUUCUAAUUCUUGGGGGAAAUCGAAUUGAAUUCAGUAAAAUUGAAUUUCACUAUAGAAUUUGUACACAGGAAGAUAGACAAAACAGAAUUUUAUGUAAUUCAGUUCAUGCCGUCUUUUAGGGAGUUUCAAAUCUAUUCAGAUUUCAGUGAAGUCCAAGAAUAUUCUGCAUUGGGUAAAAUUCUGCAAUGUUCUAACUCAAGAUGAACAAUUGAAUUUAUAAGAAGAAAGAACUGAAUUGGAAAGUGUAAUUGAAUUAAAAGAAAGAAAGAAGUGGACAGAAUGAAUCGAACAAUUGAGUUAAGUGAAAGAAAUUACAAAACUGAAAUGAGUAAUUGAAUCAAAAGAUUGAAAGGAAAAUAGGAAUGAAUUAAAAUAAAUUGAAUUGAACAAUUGGGUUAAGUAAAAUAAAUAACGGAAUUGAAACUUGUAGUUGAAUUAAAAGAUAUGAAGGAAAACAGGACAUAAUUAAAAUGAAUAGAAUUGAGCAAUUGAUUUAAAUGAAAGAAAGAGAUUUAGAUCGAACAACAAAUCUCCUAUUUUAACAAGUCAAGAAUCAAACUGCAGAACAAUUAGUUUGGUAUUACUAAAAUGAUCUGAAUUUGACAGACAAAGAAAAUACACGUUUUAUUCUACAAGUGUUUGGGGGGAACAAGAAUUCAUAAAAGAAAUUUUAACAUGAAGCAGAUCACGAAAUCGAGAAACUGGAAUUUGAUUAUUGUAUUAGAACUUUGGACAGCAAAACAAUGGAAUUUCAACUGAAACAAGAUACGUGAAAAGAGAGAAAUGAAAAUCCAACGUUUUACCAAAAUGACAACGAGAACACCGAGAUCAACUUCGGAAUAUCAGAGAGAAGAAACUCACAAAUGGAAAAUGAUUUCCGGUGCCUUCUCCCACUGUUCUUUCCCGUUUUAUAAACUGCCUGCCCUUUCAUUUCUUUAAUGUAUUUGGAUCGG
rnacentral:lncRNA from 1 species